rnacentral:sRNA from 1 species
AUUUAGCCCUUAUCGAAACGGCAUCCUUUUAUGCUGUCAUUGCGAGGAACGAAGCGAUUUUUAGACAGCAUAAAAGAUACAGUGGAGAGCAGGAAAUAGC